AGAAGAAGAUAUUUUAUUUCCAAGCAUUUGGUAUUUUUUCAAUUUUUCAAUCAAAGAGAAAAAGAAUACAUAAAAAUUUUGAUUACGAGGACCUUAUUUCUCGUACAGUAACUUCAGUGAAUUAAAACAAAACAUUAAAUGAAAUGAUAGCAAGCAGUUCGUAAUGGAAACCAACAUUGAGGAAAUUUAUUUAUUCCAUUAAAAUUAUUACUAAAUAAGUGUUUUUUUUCACGUGGUGAAUACGAAUGCUUUUCAAAGAGGAACUAUAUAUAUAGGUGACUAUGGUAGGUAGUGAAAUUUGAGAAACGGGAAGUCCAACAGUUUGGAACGUUGUCUCUGUCUCUCUAUUAUGCCACACUGAAUCACUCUCUCUCUCUCUCACACACACACACCCCCCCAAACUUUCUAUUCCCCACAACGGUAUCCAACCACCAUUUUCUCUUUUUGAAUUCAACGAUUCUGGUGCUGGUAUUCGUUCGUCUCCAGUUCAUUUGCCUCUUCACAACGUUUAGAAGUAGCAUCGCGCUUAUUCGAGAUUGAUUUCUGAGAUUGUGAUAAAAUUGGCAGAUAGAUUCAGAUAAAUAGAUAGGCUUAGUAAUAGAUUUUUGAGUUACUAGGUUUGAUAAAUAGGGAAUUGAUAAUAGAGAGUAGAUUAGGUAGUUCAUUGAGUUUCUGUCAGUUAUUGUAUCUGUUGUGUUUCUGUGGUGACUGCGUCUGUUCACUGUUCAGGUGGACUUCCUACAUGAACUUGUGGGAGGGAAUGUGGAGACGCCGCUCGUCCGGCUGACAAUGAAUGAAGUUGCCACCAACUUCUGCAGGAAGGCGGGAAGGGAAGAGGUCCCUAAACAGCCUUCUGAGAAACAAAAUUUUGGAGAAAGUUGUUGCUGCGUCUCUGGAGAUUUCACCAGCAAGCUGUUUGAAACCAGGGUGUAAGAGUGGCUCUGGCAGGCUGGGACCAGAAUGUAAUUUAUUAAAAACUUCAAAAAAUAAAAGAAUUGACUAGAAUUUAUUUGUCACGUUUUAUGAGAUUGUAGUGGAAUAAAAAUGUAUUUUCAAGUUGUA
rnacentral:lncRNA from 1 species